GGACAACGUGCCCUAAAGUGGGGGAUAAUCAGGGGAAACUCUGGAUAAUACCCCAUAGAUCAUGAGAUCUGGAAUGACUUAUGGUUCAAAGUUCCGGCGCUUUAGGAUCGGUCUGCGGCCUAUCAGGUAGUAGUGGGUGUAAUGUACCCCCUAGCCUAUUACGGGUAUGGGCCUUGAGAGAGGGAGCCCAGAGUUGGAUUCUGAGACACGAAUCCAGGCCCUACGGGGCGCAGCAGUCGCGAAAACUUCACAAUGGGCGAAAGCCCGAUGAGGGAAUUCCUAGUGCUAGCACUUUUGUGUUAGCUUUUCUUUAGCGUAGAUAACUAGAGGAAUAAGGGCUGGGUAAGACGGGUGCCAGCCGCCGCGGUAAUACCCGCAGCCCGAGUGGUGGUCGAUUUUAUUGAGUCUAAAACGUUCGUAGCCGGUCUGAUAGAUCCUUGGGUAAAUCGGGGGGCUUAACCUUCCGAAUUCCGAGGAGACCGUCAGGCUUGGGAUCGGGAGAGGUAAGAGGUACUUCAGGGGUAGGGGUAAAAUCCUGUAAUCCUUGGAGGACCACCGGUGGCGAAGGCGUCUUACUAGAACGAAUCCGACGGUGAGGGACGAAGCCCUAGGUCGCAAACGGGAUUAGAUACCCCGGUAGUCUAGGGUGUAAACGCUGCAGACUUGGUGUUGGAGGCCCUUCGGGGGCAUUCAGUGCCGGAGAGAAGUUGUUAAGUCUGCUACUUGGGGAGUACGUCCGCAAGGAUGAAACUUAA
rnacentral:rRNA from 1 species